UGGUGUCUUUUCAUGCUCCAA
rnacentral:piRNA from 1 species